ensembl:lncRNA
AGAAGACUGCUGCUGAUUUUAAACAUUAUUUAUAUUCUUUGUGUUUUAUCUGUUUUAACAAACACAGCAGCUGCUACAAGUUAAUUCAAUACAAUCAACUUUCUGAUGAGAAGCUGAAGACUACGACAGCCAUGUUGUUGGCAGAAGCUGGAUGUGUGUUUAUGGGUUUCAUGCUGUGUUUCUCAGGGGUUCAGGGACGAGCAAACAGCAUCUGUGCUUUAAAAGGUUCAUCAGUGGAUCUGCCCUGCUCAGCUGAACAUCCACCUACAAGCAUGAAAUGGUACAAAGUACAGCUGAUUGGAUCUACAUUUAAUCUGAAGAACCUCCCUGCAGAUGACAGUCAUGUUAAGUACAUGUUGGGAGAGAACAACUUCAAUCUAACAAUCAAAGAUCUGACAGAGAGAGAUGCAAAGCUUUACUGCUGCAGCAGCAAAGAGGAUGCAGGAACAUCCAGACAGAGUGAGCAAGGCAUGAUUGAGCUCCGUGUUGCAGGUACGGUGACCGUCAGUAAUGAAUUACUUUAAGUCUGACAUAAAUAUAUGAAUUCUUACUUUUCCUCCUCAUCCCCUCAGACCUGCAGGUGAAGGUGAUUCCCUCCACAGAGGGACACACAGUAACACUGAUGUGCAGCACCAGCUGCCCUCUGACUGAAAACCCUGCAGCCUACAUCUGGUACAAGAACAGAGAGUUUCUCUAUGAGGACUGGUCUCCCUGGUACCAACAGCUGGUCAGCAGUGAGGAAGCAGUCACAUACUCCUGUGCUAUCAAAGGCUACGAGGAUCUCAGAGCCCCUCAAGUCUCAGUGGAUUCUGUCACAUCAGCCUGCUUCAGUGUGACCUAUGCUAAAGGGAAAAUGUGUUCUUAUAAGCAGACAUCAGUGGAUGAGCCCUGCUCCAUCAUAUAUCCAACAGAAGUGCAUGUUCAAAACACUCCUGCAGCUGCACCAUUCCAUGUCAGACUGACCUGUAACACCAACUGUCCUCAGACUGAUCUUCAGACUGCCUUGAGAGUGUACAAGAGCAGUAACUCAGAGGGACAGAAUGAGGUAAUAAAGAAUGUAGUUCCCAUCUCAUCUCCUGAAAGCUUCUCCUGUGCCGUAAAAGGCCUCAAACAUCUACACUCUGCUGCAGUCUGUGCUGAGGAUAAGAACUGUUGGAGUGUGAAUUAUGUCAGCAGGAGAAUCUGUGCUGCUCACGGCUCCUCAGUGGACAUUUCAAGUGAAUAUUCUCAUCCUGACAACCAGCAGCCCCAGUCUAAAUUAUGGUAUAAAAUAAUCAGAAGUGGUAAGAAGGAUCCUGAAAAGCUGAGUGAGGUUGCAGGUCGCGUUGAGUACCAUGGAAACAUGAACAAUCAUCACACCCUGUCAAUUAAAGACCUGACGAGGAAUGACUCAGCAGAAUACAAAUUCAAGAUCCAGACACAAGACGGAUGGAAACAGUCAGAUUUUUCUGGAGUGACGUUGGUUGUAACAGGUCUUAAAGUGACGUUCACUCCCUCUGCAGUGGUGACAGAGGGUCAGAGAGUCACACUGACCUGCAACACCAGCUGUCCUCUGAACACAGACUACAUCUGGACCUUCAACAGUCGACCUCUGAACCUGCCAGAGAGCCAAAACAAACACCUGGUUCUAGACCCAGUCAGCAGUCAGCAUGAAGGAAGGUACUCCUGUAUGGUCAAAACUGGCAGAAGAACCAUUGGCUCAAGUGAAAAAACUCUGACUGUCCAAAAUGUUGAACAGGAACAAACAUCAGCAGCAGCUGCAGGAGUGUGUGCUGCUCUCCUGGUUUUAAUACUUCUCGCUGUCUUUUGCUGGAUUAGAAAAAAGAAGACACCCAGCCAAUCUCCACGGAGUGAAACCUCAAACAACUUGGAGCAGUUAAACCCUGGUCCUGUGUAUGACGAAAUCUCAGCUCAACCAACAGAGCAGGAUGAUCUUCACUACAGCAGUGUCCACUUCCAUCAGAAACACACAGAUGCUGUCUACAGCACCCUCCAGCCACAUCAGGCCCGAGAACAAGAGCACGUCCCCUAUGCUGUUGUCCACUUUAAAUCCAACAAAGCCCCCUGA